CAACCCUCAAGCACUGCUUGGUAUUGGAUGCUACCUCUUGGUACACCUCAAAAAUAUUGGCAGUGGCAUUCAGCUUCUAGUGUAGUAAUUUUUCUCGCUCAGGAGUCAUGAGUGUCUGACUGCCAGAAACCCUCUAAUUUAUCACAA
rnacentral:misc_RNA from 1 species